AGUGAACGCUGGCGGUAGGCCUAACACAUGCAAGUCGAGCGGCAGCACAGUAAAGGCUUGCUCUUACGGGAGGCGAGCGGCGGGGGGGUGAGGAAUACAUCGGAAUGUACUUUUUCGUGGGGGAAAUCGUAGGGAAGCUUACGCUAAUAGCGCAUACGACCUACAGGUGAAAGCAGGGCCUCUUCGCAUCUUGCCAGAUUCUAUGCGCCGAUGUCGGUUUCGCUAGUUGGGGGGGUAAAGGCCCACCAAGGCGACGAUCCUUAGCUGGUCUGAGAGGAUGAUCAGCCACACUGGAACUGAGACACGGUCCAGACUCCUACGGGAGGCAGCAGUGGGGAAUAUUGGACAAUGGGCGCAAGCCUGAUCCAGCCAUACCGCGUGGGUGAAGAAGGCCUUCGGGUUGUAAAGCCCUUUUGUUGGGGAAGAAAGGCAGCAGGUUAAUACCCCGAUGUUCUGACGUUACCCGAAGAAUAAGCACCGGCUAACUUCGUG
rnacentral:rRNA from 1 species